UGAGCGGUGAGACGAACAAAAGGGAA
rnacentral:piRNA from 1 species